rnacentral:rRNA from 1 species
AUGAACUCGACAUCCGCCCCGGGGCCUGAUAGCUUGCCAGUUAAGUUUUUUCAGACCUUUUGGCACACUAUCAAGCCGGAGAUCAUGGCCCUCUUUGAGGAAUUCUAUGUAGGCGACAUUGACCUCCACCGACUUAAUUACGGGAUUAUUACCUUGAUCCCCAAGGUCCCGGGUGCCGCCGACAUUCGCCAGUUCCGGCACAUUACGGUGAUCAAUGUGAUCUUCCGCAUCCUCGCAAAGGGGUACGCCAAUAGGGUGGCCCCUUUGGCUGACCGCAUCACCCACCCGAAUCAGUUCGCCUUCAUUCAGGGGCGC